rnacentral:rRNA from 2 species
UUAAAUUGAAGAGUUUGAUCAUGGCUCAGAUUGAACGCUGGCGGCAGGCCUAACACAUGCAAGUCGAGCGGAAACGAGUUAUCUGAACCUUCGGGGGACGAUAACGGCGUCGAGCGGCGGACGGGUGAGUAAUGCCUAGGAAAUUGCCCUG